GACGAACGCUGGCGGCGUGCCUAAUACAUGCAAGUUGAGCGCUGAAGGUUGGUACUUGUACCGACUGGAUGAGCAGCGAACGGGUGAGUAACGCGUGGGGAAUCUGCCUUUGAGCGGGGGUCAACAUUUGGAAACGAAUGCUAAUACCGCAUAAAAACUUUAAACACAAGUUUUAAGUUUGAAAGAUGCAAUUGCAUCACUCAAAGAUGAUCCCGCGUUGUAUUAGCUAGUUGGUGAGGUAAAGGCUCACCAAGGCGAUGAUACAUAGCCGACCUGAGAGGGUGGUCGGCCACAUUGGGACUGAGACACGGCCCAAACUCCUACGGGAGGCAGCAGUAGGGAAUCUUCGGCAAUGGACGAAAGUCUGACCGAGCAACGCCGCGUGAGUGAAGAAGGUUUUCGGAUCGUAAAACUCUGUUGGUAGAGAAGAACGUUGGUGAGAGUGGAAAGCUCAUCAAGUGACGGUAACUACCCAGAAAGGGACGGCUAACUACGUG
rnacentral:rRNA from 1 species